rnacentral:lncRNA from 1 species
CAACGUUAGGAUUGUCACAUGCCUUUUGUAAAGUUUGCAACAGAGAUUUAAAGUUGACCACGGUGGCCUUAAUGAUGUCUCCAAACAUUCUAGUACUUCUUGUGAUAUUGAUCUAUAUAAUAUAUGAGGGUUUGGAUGGGGUUAAAUUAUUAGAGAAUAUAAUGCCCUUAAAAAAUGAAGAUAAGGGAAUAACGGGCAAAAAAAAAUGAAAAUUUGAGAAAUGCGUGGUCAAAUUUUUUGAAGAUUAGAGAAAAAAGAGGUUAAUUUUUUGAAGAUUAGAGAAAAAAGGGGUGAAAAUUAAAUGUUUACAGAAC